rnacentral:rRNA from 1 species
UGGGGAAUAUUGCACAAUGGGCGCAAGCCUGAUGCAGCAACGCCGCGUGAGGGACGACGGCCUUCGGGUUGUAAACCUCUUUUAGUAGGGAAGAAGCGAAAGUGACGGUACCCGCAGAAAAAGCACCGGCUAACUACGUGCCAGCAGCCGCGGUAAUACGUAGGGUGCAAGCGUUAUCCGGAAUUAUUGGGCGUAAAGAGCUCGUAGGCGGUUUGUCGCGUCUGCUGUGAAAACUGGAGGCUCAACCUCCAGCCUGCAGUGGGUACGGGCAAACUAGAGUGCGGUAGGGGAGAUUGGAAUUCCUGGUGUAGCGGUGGAAUGCGCAGAUAUCAGGAGGAACACCGACGGCGAAGGCAGAUCUCUGGGCCGUAACUGACGCUGAGGAGCGAAAGCAUGGGGAGCGAACAGGAUUAGAUACCCCCGUAGUCCCUGAGCGGGCUGGCAAGGCGCAU